UGGGACCUACGGGGCGCAGCAGUGAGGAAUAUUGGUCAAUGGACGCAAGUCUGAACCAGCCAUGGCGCGUGCAGGAUGACGGCUCUAUGAGUUGUAAACUGCUUUUGUACGAGGGUAAACCCCGAUACGUGUAUCGGGUUGAAAGUAUCGUACGAAUAAGGAUCGGCUAACUCCGUGCCAGCAGCCGCGGUAAUACGGAGGAUCCGAGCGUUAUCCGGUUUUAUUGGGUUUAAAGGGUGCGUAGGCGGUUUGAUAAGUUAGAGGUGAAAUGGCGGGGCUCAACCCCGAAACUGUCUCUAAUACUG
rnacentral:rRNA from 1 species